rnacentral:rRNA from 1 species
GACGAACGCUGGCGGCGUGCCUAAUACAUGCAAGUCGAACGCUUCUUUCCUCCCGAGUGCUUGCACUCAAUUGGAAAGCGGAGUGGCGGACGGGUGAGUAACACGUGGGUAACCUACCCAUCAGAGGGGGAUAACACUUGGAAACAGGUGCUAAUACCGCAUAACAGUUUAUGCCGCAUGGCAUAAGAGUGAAAGGCGCUUUCGGGUGUCGCUGAUGGAUGGACCCGCGGUGCAUUAGCUAGUUGGUGAGGUAACGGCUCACCAAGGCCACGAUGCAUAGCCGACCUGAGAGGGUGAUCGGCCACACUGGGACUGAGACACGGCCCAGACUCCUACGGGAGGCAGCAGUAGGGAAUCUUCGGCAAUGGACGAAAGUCUGACCGAGCAACGCCGCGUGAGUGAAGAAGGUUUUCGGAUCGUAAAACUCUGUUGUUAGAGAAGAACAAGGACGUUAGUAACUGAACGUCCCCUGACGGUAGCUAGCCAGAAAGCCACGGCUAACUACGUG